AUCUGUUCGCAGUUCGCACUCAUGCGUUGAACAAAUUUUUUUUUUGUGAGAUUCGACGACGCCGUCUACUACCAUUUCGCGGAGCUUUAAACCCUGGUUCCGAUAUAGGGACCCAACGCUGUAAACGGUCAAGCUCAACAAACUCUCUGUCUCUCGUCUAAAGCAAUCAAUCGCAGAGACUCGCACAGCAAUGUCGAGCCCAGAAGAAGAAGCGAAGCUCGAACGGUUCCUCCAGUGGUUGCAGGUGAACAGAGCUGAACUACGGGGUUGCAAGAUCAAGUACUGUGGAUCCAACAAAGGGUUUGGUAUUUUCUCUACUAAUGAAGCUUCUGAUGGUGUUCUAUUGGUUGUUCCACUAGAUUUAGCAAUAACUCCUAUGAGAGUGUUGCAAGAUCCUCUUCUUGGACCAGAAUGUAGAGCAAUGUUUGAAGAAGGAGAAGUAGAUGACAGGUUCUUGAUGAUUCUGUUCCUAACUCUGGAGCGCCUCCGUAACAAUUCUUCAUGGAAGCCGUACCUUGAUAUGCUGCCAACCACUUUUGGAAAUCCACUUUGGUUUACUGAUGAUGAGCUUUUGGAGCUGAAGGGAACAACGUUGUAUCAGGCCACUGAAUUGCAGAAGAAAAGGUUGCAGUCUUUAUAUGAAAAUAAAGCGAAGGGAUUUGUGAAGAAACUUUUAACUCUUGAUGGGGAUUCAGAAAGUGAGGUGUGCUUUGAAGAUUUCCUUUGGGCAAAUUCUGUAUUUUGGUCUCGUGCUUUGAACAUUCCUCUUCCACAUUCUUAUGUAUUUCCACAAACGCAAGUAGAGGACAGUAACUUUUCAGUUAGCAAAGAUUCUGAGAAUUCCACUAAUCACAUUUCCAGUGGAGAGUUGGUCAGUGGAAGGGAUGAAAAAGGAUGUAGGGUUCAGGAUGUUGAUAGGCAAGUCAAUGGAGUGACUUCCACAUCAAUUCAAGGGGAGACUAUUUGGGUGGAGGGUCUUAUCCCUGGCAUUGACUUUUGCAAUCAUAAUUUGAAGGCAGCAGCAACAUGGGAAGUUGAUGGAACAGGAACAAUAACUGGAGUUCCUUGCUCUAUGUACCUUCUUUCUGCUGAACAAAGUCCCUUUGAAAUCGAGAGAGAGAUUUCCAUUAGCUAUGGUAACAAAGGAAAUGAGGAACUACUUUAUUUGUAUGGUUUUGUCAUUGAUAACAAUCCAGAUGACUAUCUCAUGGUCCAUUAUCCCAUGGAGGCGAUCCAGAAUGUGCCCUUUUCUGACUCAAAGGCCCAGCUUCUUGAAGCACAGGUCAAGUAUCAUCUGUUUUUAAUUUUGUGUUUGUGCUCACAGAAGGCUGAACUGAGGUGUCUUUUACCAAGAAGUUUGCUGGAUCAUGGAUUCUUUUCAGAAUGCACAGCAAAAAGCAAAGGGAAUGAUAAGUGCGAGGGUCGAGUUUGCAACUAUAGUUGGAGUGGUCAGCGCAAGACGCCCUCUUACUUAAACAAGCUGGUUUUUCCUGAGAAGUUUUUAACUGCCUUGAGGACCAUAGCCUUGCAGGAGGAUGAGCUUUUUCAGGUUCAAUCAAUGCUGGAAGAGCUUGUUGGGUAUGGAGGGGAGAGGCAACCAUCUGAUACAGAAGUCCAUGCAGCAGUAUGGGAGGCUUGUGGCGAUUCUGGAGCUUUGCAAUUGCUUGUUGAUCUUCUCCAGACAAAGAUGAUGGAUCUUGAAGAGAACUCUGGAACAGAGGACUGUGACAUUGAACUGCUUAAAGAAGUUAGCACUGCUGAAAGCCAGGAGCAGCAAAUAAGGUACAAGAAAAAUUUGAGCAAAGAGACAGAUGGCCUAACCAAACAGAAGUUGAGUAGAAACGGGCGCUCUAGUAUCCAAUAUCGAUGGGGGCAAAAGCAACUGACCCGUUUAUUUCUGAAGGAAGCAGAGCACGCCUUGCAACUAGCACUGAGUGAAGGGAACUGAUCGUGGUUGGCUAUGUUUUCUGAACACUAGUUUAUCAUAUUUCUGAGAAUGCAGAAAUUUUCACAGGCUAUUUCCAGGUGUCAUCACCGAGAGCCCAAUGCUUUUAAUCUACUUUGUCAUAGAUAACAACAAAUCAAGAACCUCAUAAAAGUCCACCAUACAGAUGUUGCAUUAAACACUAGUCUUUGACAAACCAUCGGCUCGAACACCAUUGUUGAGGUUCUUCCAACCCAUGUGUGUAUGAAGUUACACACCAUUGUUAGGCUAUCUUGGGAUUCAUACGAAAAUGGGCUCCACCCACUACUUUUCA